AUCUGUCGGACACCCCUUUUCCAACUCCUCCAACU
rnacentral:antisense_RNA from 1 species